GGCCCAGUAGCCCACGCAGUCGUCCGUCUUCCUCCACAUCCCCGUCUCCAAGAACACGGGUGGGGGGAAAACCAAUCCGCCGCCGACGCCGCCCCCUCAUCCCCGUCUCUCCCAAUCUUUUCUUCCCUCUCCCGCACCCCGUGGCUUCCGCCGUGGGCCGAUUGAGUGUUCCAGAAUUCUUCGUCCGCCGUCCGUCCCCGCACUCACGCACGCGUACACCUAUCUUCCUCCUUCGCCUGGUUCGUGUACGGCUCAGAGCGGAGCAGGGGACUGAUCGAUGUAAGGUUCGGCUUCCAAUCCAUCCAGGCCGCCGGCCGGUCCACCGAGGGGAGAGUCCAAGUCGUCCAGGCGAAACCCUAGACGCCGCGGGGAUGGAGCAUCUCCGCCGCCUCGCCCAGUUCUUGCUCGCCUCAGCUCGCGGGGAUGGAGCAGGACGGCGCCGCCCAGGCCCAGGACGACGGCGCCGUGGACGGCUGGGCGCACGACGGCACGGAGACUCCUCCCCUACAGCACCCCGGCGGAGUGCCCCGGGGCCGUUGACCCCCCUCCUUGCCGGCGUCUCCGCCGCCGCCUCCGCGCAGCCGCUCGUGAGCGACCCUCAACUACGACUCGGUGGGGAGGAGCCCUUCGACGACCUUGACGCCUGCUCCGUCGACCACAACCACUGCUUCCGCAAGAAAGCCGCAUGGAUUGGGGAUAUGUACUUCGGUUUGGGUUCAUCAAAAGCGGCAAUUUUUGCGCAUUUGUAUUAACUAUCGAGGAUCUCAAGUUCACAUGGAUCACACUAUGAUCAAGUGCAUUCUAGUGCUGUGAUGAUUGUGACGGAAAAUGUUAGCAGCAGAAGCAAUCGCUACGUCUCAGCUCCAAUAUUAAAAAUCAGUGCACCUGAACUGCGACACAAUUUUUCUCAUUUGGAACUGCGGUUAUAAGGUAUCUAAUCUGAAAGCGAAAUCAUCAGGAUUUUGACCUCCAUACGAAAUCUGCAAGGGUAACAACAACAAAGGAAACUGGUGUAAGAUUGAGUACUAAGGCUCGAAGAUGAGCUACCAUCAAGAUUAUGUCUCGACAAUGAAGUAUAGUGAUUUUUUUUACCGAACUCACAGAAGUAGAUUGUGUAUCCCAUGCAACGUUCAACCUAAUGGACAUCGAGGGAACCACUUUGAGUACGCAAUUGUUUGUGUGGAGGAAAAUGCAUGGUACUAAAGCUAACCUUCCUCUGGUCCAGAUGAAAUCAAGGCAACUGGGUCUUCUAUCUUCAAGCAUCAAUUUGUUCCGGCCGGAUCUGAGAGUAAAAGUGACAGUACCACUACCACCUCUUCCGUCUACAUUUCCUUCUAGGAGGCGCUUCAGAUCAAAUCGGGCAUUAAAACACGGCUUCAGAUGCUGGUCCUGUUACUUUUGCUUCAGGGUAGGCUUCAAACUUUGGCUGAUUAGGAUCGACUGUAAUUCAUUUUUCCUUUUGAGUGUCGGCUGUAAUUUUUGGUGCAGGGAGAACACAUUCUUGUCAGAAAGCCUCAGGUUUGGCACCCAAGACGGACGCCUGUAUAGGCCUACAGGUACACAAUGAUGAUGAGGUCAGAGCCUUGUUUAAGCAAGUGCAAGAAGUCCCUGGAUCUUCUAUAAUUAUUAUGAAGGUGGCAUCUCAGAGCUGACAUCUAGAGGAUCAGUUGCUCCGUGACAAGCAUGGCAACAUGGCAUCACUGCAAAGUCGAGACUGUAGCGUUCAAAGAAGGCACCAAAAGCUGAAUUAGGGAAGGAUGCCGGAGUUACAUGUACACAACCCUUAUUCUGCUAACUAUGGCUCUCUUUUGUUGAUCGCUUGCCUUUUGGAAGCUGUUGGCCUUUGGUUACCCCAAGGGGAAAUUUUCUGGCUUGCUUCACGGGCCGUAGCUCCUCCUUCCCCAACCCCACUUUGUCUCCCCUGUGAUUUGCCUGUUCCUGAUCUUAGUGGCUGGCAUGUCUCAAAUUUUCAUUGGGCAGGGCUACUAACGUAAAGGAGCAAACUGGAAAUUCCACCUGCAUAUUUUAGGCAAUUAUUCAUGUUUUGUAAACCCUUUGUGUGCAUAUGGUAAGCAUGAACUUGUCCCUGCAGCUCAUGAUAAGAGUAGGACCUUAAAUUCGCCAGAAUGAGUUCUUAUUUUGAUUAUCUAUGAAGUCUUAUUUUGAUUAUCUUUCACUUUACUAUAAGAUAAUAAAUCUGGGAAGCUAAAGCUUAACAAGUUUCAAAAUGAGUUUGCCUCCUUUCUCACUCUAUAUAUUGUAUUCUUUGGUCAUUUUAUACCAAGAUCUUGCCCAUGUCCCUGAACUUGUUGAUUUUGUAGGGUUCUUGCAGAUCAUGUUGGCCAUUCCGGGGCAUUGGAGUGGGCCAACUUCGUGACGACGGGCAAGAUGGAGCUGAUCGGCUGCUCGGCGGCGACCAUGAGGUGAGGCAUGGUGCCAGUGGCAGCGGGUGCAGGAAGCAGCAACAUUAGAGAUGGGCACCGAGGUACACUGUUCACUCCCUCUGAAGGAAGAAUCGAUGUAGUAGCUAGCAUUCAUUUUUAGAUGCUAUGUAUCUUUCUGAUUGUUUGGGCAGUAGAGAGCUAUUUAUCUGUAAACAUCUGCAGUAGAGAGCUAUGUAUCUGUAAACAUUAAAUAUUGUUGCAUCAAAGAGCAGUAGCACCUCCUUGUCAUUGUCAAUACCUGUUGAUAUUGUGUAGUGCAUCAUGAUCAGCUACACUGCAAACAUCUGCAAAUAUUACUCUUGCGUUAAUCAUUGUAUAUUUUAUUCCUGUUUUA